UGACCCGUGGCCCAGUAGCAUAAUCAAUUGUCUUUUAAUUGAAGGCUGGAAUGAAAGGUUGGAUGAGAUAUAAACUAUUUUUAUUUUAUAAGUAAUGAAUUUUAAUUUUAAGUAAAAAUGCUUAAAUAAAUAAAUUAGACGAGAAGACCCUAUAAAUCUUUAUUUUUUUAAAAAAAUAAAUAAAUUUAUAAAAUUUUUUGUUAUUUUUUUAAAAGAAUUUAAUUGGGGUGAUUAUUAAAUUUAAUAAACUUUUAUUAAUUUUUACAAUUUAUAUUUGAUUAUAAUGAUCCAUUAUUAAUGAUUAAAAGUUUAAGUUACUUUAGGGAUAACAGCGUAAUUAUUUUGAAGAGUUCUUAUCGAUAAAAUAGAUUGCGACCUCGAUGUUGAAUUAAGAUAAAUUUAAAUGCAGG
rnacentral:rRNA from 1 species